UUACUUUCAGCUGUGAGACAAUUUGUGGCUUAUUCUCGCAGAUGUCAGAAGACCUAAGUAGAUAUAAACGUUUACAGCGUCUGGAUGCUUACUGCAGACAACUCACGAGUGGGCCAAUAAGGAUACUGCUCUGUUAUUAAUAUCCAAAAUGAAGUGUACAAUUUUGUAUUUCUUUCUGGCCCUGUGUUUUGUCUUUUGGGAUGUAACUUCUGGAAUCAAAUUCAAUCUGGAAGGCUUAAGAAGCCUUCUUGACAAUAAGCCAACAAAUCAAAGACUUUUAGACCAGACGAAUGGAGAUUCUGAAACAGAAAGACUUCAAUCUAGAGUGCUCCAGCCACCAAAAAGUUCUACAAUCAUCAAUGGACAUAAUCCAAAGUCUGUU